CGCCUCUUGCUAAACAACAUGUAUAAGAGGUCCAGCCUGCCCAGUGACUAUAUGUUCAACGGCCGCGGUAUUCUGACCGUGCAAAGGUAGCGUAAUCACUUGUCUUUUAAAUAAAGACUAGUAUGAAUGGCACCACGAAGGUUCAACUGUCUCCUGCAUCCAAUCCAUUAAACUGUCCUCCCCGUGCAGAGACGGGGAUACGCCCAUAAGACGAGAAGACCCUAUGGAGCUUUAAACUUAAGGCAACUGCUAAAUAACCCUUCCCCACACGGAAUAACAUCCAACUAAGCAACAAUGACCCAAAGUUUUCGGUUGGGGCGACCACGGAGAAAAAAAAAUCCUCCUUGAUGUACGAGGCCUUACCCUCUUAGCCAAGAACGACGGUUCUAAGCAACAAAACAUUUGACCACUAUUGAUCCAGUCUUACUGAUCAACGAACCAAGUUACCCUAGGGAUAACAGCGCAAUCCAUUUCGAAAGUUCCUAUCGACAAAUGGGUUUACGACCUCGAUGUUGGAUCAGGGCAUCCCAGUGGUGCAGCCGCUACUAAAGGUUCGUUUGUUCAACGAUUAAAGC
rnacentral:rRNA from 1 species